rnacentral:rRNA from 1 species
UGACCGCUGGCGGCGUGCUUAACACAUGCAAGUCGACCGAAGCAUUUAGGACAGAUUACUUCGGUUUGAAGUUCUUUAUGACUGAGUGGCGGACGGGUGAGUAACGCGUGGGUAACCUGCCUUGUACUGGGGGAUAGCAGCUGGAAACGGCUGGUAAUACCGCAUAAGCGCACAAUGUUGCAUUACAUUGUGUGAAAAACUCCGGUGGUAUAAGAUGGACCCGCGUCUGAUUAGCUAGUUGGUGAGAUAACAGCCCACCAAGGCGACGAUCAGUAGCCGACCUGAGAGGGUGACCGGCCACAUUGGGACUGAGACACGGCCCAGACUCCUACGGGAGGCAGCAGUGGGGAAUAUUGCACAAUGGAGGAAACUCUGAUGCAGCGACGCCGCGUGAGUGAAGAAGUAAUUCGUUAUGUAAAGCUCUAUCAGCAGGGAAGAUAGUGACGGUACCUGACGAAGAAGCUCCGGCUAAAUACGUG